rnacentral:ncRNA from 1 species
AAAAUUACUUUAAAACCCCGUAACGACUGAUGUCCGACGAGUAGUCGGACUGAGAUAGAAAAUUUUAUUUUCUAUCAGACGCCGAACCGUAGCGCAUAAAUCAUUAUGUGCUCGGAUGGUAUAGUCUACAUCAAUAGUAAUAUUGAGAAAAAGUGGUCGGCUCGCCCUAGCGCGGGGCUGGAGAAGGUCCCAAGCGUUUGGCUGUUCGCCAAUUAAAAGGGCACGCGAGCUGGGUUCAGACCGUGAAUCGAAAGAUCUGGCGGCUACGCUUGAGUAAUCAGCGUAAGCAAAAUCGACUCAUAUCGGUGAAGCCCUACGCGUUUUAACCUGAACGCGAGGGUAAUACCGAGGGAAUCCCGACGUAAAGUCGGGACCCGUAGAGACUUUCUGUUUUAAACAGAAGAACUAUGUUUUUAAACAUAGUUAAAACGUCGGUCCUCCGACCAAGGUCGGAGGGUGGUAUAGUCCAUACCGUUAGUAAUAACGGACGUUUACCCUAGUGGCUAAUUACUAGUCCCUAGUGGCUAAAUUAUGCGUGAGACAGGUUGGUCUCUAUCUGCUGCAGGCGUUGACGCUUGAGGGAAGUUGUCCUUUGUACGAGAGGAUCAGGAUGAACGAACCUCUGGUCUACCGGCUUUGCCACCAGGUGAAGCGCCGGGUAGCUAUGUUCGGCAGGGAUAAGCGCUGAAAGCAUCUAAGCGCGAAGCCCCUCCCAAGAUUAGGCGUCUUAGACUCGUGGAAGACUACCACGUUGAUAGACUUUAGGUGUAAGGCCAGCAAUGGUUUUAGCCAAGAAGUACUAAUAAGUCAAAAUUGUUUCUAA